UUAAUUAAAAAGUGAAACGUGACAAUUAUUUUUGAGGCAGAAAGUAAUUAUUUUAGGUUGUGUUAUAACACGCACCUUCACUGCGCGUACAGUAAGAAACUUAUUUUAUUUUGCGUAUCACCGUGACUUGACCACUCACUGCAAAUUCCUGUACCUGACGCCUUUCCAUCUCCUCUCUUCAUCUUUUUUCCCCUAUUUAAAGCAAGUAACAGAGCAGGUGCAGGCGAACUUCUCUUGAACAGUUACCAAUGGGAGAUUGUAGCAACAGCAAACUCUUACCAAUGUGCGACUCCGGCGAGGCUCCGUUCGACACACGGCGGUACUAUAAGCAUAUUCAUGAUAAUGUUCAUGGCAACAUCUAUCUCGAUAAGCAAGCUCUGAAUUUCAUCGACACUGAACAGUUUCAGAGGCUUCGUGAAUUGAAGCAGCUAGGUCUUGGAUACAUGGUUUAUCCUGGGGCUGUGCACUCUCGGUUUGAGCAUUCCCUAGGGGUCUAUUGGCUGGCCAGUGACGCUGUACAUAGACUUAAGACCUAUCAAGGACAGGAGCUUGGUAUUGAAUCUUUUGAUGUACAGACCGUGAAACUUGCUGGAUUACUACAUGAUGUGGGUCAUGGGCCAUUCAGUCACUUGUUUGAGCGUGAAAUUCUUCCUCGGGUUCGCAGCGGCAUUAAAUGGUCCCAUGAGGAUAUGUCUUUGAAGAUGAUAGACUACAUUGUUGAUGAGAAUAGCAUUGAUAUUGAUUCUGGCACUUUGAAGAAAGUAAAGGAAAUGAUAGUUGCUUCUGAGGCAGGUAAAUCAGUGAGCUCAAAAGAGAAGCAGUUCUUGUAUGAUAUUGUUGCUAAUGGACGGAACGGAAUAGAUGUUGACAAAUUUGAUUACAUAGAGCGUGACACCAGAGCUUGUGGUCUUAGGUGCAAUUUUCAGUUCCAGAGGCUAAUGGAAACAAUGCGUGUUAUAGACAAUGAAAUAUGUUACAGGGCAAAGGAAUAUCUUACGAUCCACAAGCUAUUUUCCACUCGUGCUGAUUUGCAUCGUACAGUCUAUACGCAUCCAAAAGUGAAGGCAAUAGAAUUCAUGGUCGUGGAUGCUUUGAUAAAAGCAAAUGACCAUCUUGAAAUUGAUUCAUACAUUGAUGAACCAGCAAAGUACUGGAUGUUAGAUGAUACAAUUGUCAAAACAAUUGAAGCUUCUACCCACCAAGAUCUAGAGGAAUCCAGAAAUCUGAUUCGUCGAAUUCGAAGGAGGGACAUAUACCAGUACUGUAAUGAGUUUACUGUGUCCAAGGAGAAUCUGGAGUACUUCAAAAAUGUAACGGCUCAAGACAUAAUUUGUUCCCAGAAUUCUGAUGCUCAUUUGAAUGAGGAAGAUGUUAUUGUUACGAAUAUCAAAAUUGAUUUGGCUAAUGGAAGGAAUAAUCCAUUGGAAAGGGUCAGCUUCUUCCAGCUACAAAGAUGCAAAUUUUGGUUAAUUUGGCCAACAAGUGUUAGUGAGAAUGCUCUUCGACAAUUCCACCUAUAGUUAGAAAUUAACCUUUUAAUAUAAAUGGUACUCUUCAUGCUAGUUGUAUUAUCUCUUUUGCAACUGUCAAUUAUAGUUGUCUUAGAUUCUCCAGUGAUUUUGUUCAUCUAUACUGAACUAUUGAAAACAGUGAUGUAUUUCAGUUAAAAUGGAAAAGACUGUACAGCAUAGAAAUUAAUUUUCCUUGUGGUUCUCAAACAUUGAUUAGCUCUGGAAGUUCUUAUCUCAAACAUCAGUUCAAUCUCUCUUUCGGCUAUAAAUGUUGUCAAAUGUCAACCUUAUAUGGCAAAUACUUUUUGGGUGCACAUGUUUCAAUUUUCCGCCGGCUUCUCUAAUGUCCUAUUGUUUACAGGAUUAUGAUAGUUUUGAGAAAUUUCAUAUAAAGGAAGAUUGCGUUAGUCAGUUAUUGCCUACUUGUUACCAGGAUUUGAUCGUUAGAGUUUAUGCCAGAGAUCCUAAACUGGUAGAUGCUGUUACCAAUGCAUUUGAGAAUUUUCAGACGAAGACUUAUGGAGAGAAAACGCAAGUGCAUGCAAUUA